CAGAAAAGAAAAAUCCAGUUCAAAGAAAAAUGGCAUCAUUUAAUGAGGCACCACCAGGAAACGAAAAAGCAGGAGAGAAGAUCUUCAAGACUAAAUGUGCUCAAUGCCAUACUGUCGACAAAGGUGCCGGUCACAAACAAGACUUGCAAGUUCGAGAGAUAGAAGUUGGACGAUUGGAUAUACUUCAAGGUAUGUUAAGGCUAUCCUUUCUUUCUUUGAGCAUGAUCCUAUGAUAUGAGCCAACAAGCGAGUAAAAGAGCUUCCAUAUUGCUCUACUCUUAGAAGCAUUAGAAGUACUUCAGUCUUUGAUGUUCAUGUACCUCGCUUAUGAGUGUUCCUUCUGUUCAUGGGUCCAGUUUUAUGUAGCCAGUUCUAUGUAUACAGUUUAUUCAUGCAUUACAUUCAUUAUAUAUUUAUGUACAUUGACCCGUGACCAGAAGGUAUUAUAUACGCGAAUAUUAGGUAUAUGUGGAGUAUGAGAAGAAAGAUAGGCGUUAUACGUGCAUUACCACUAUGAUGAUAUGAGAAUCAGGCUGCACGUACCGCAAAGAAUGUAUAUGUAAUGGCCGUCGAGAGGCCGAUAUGAUAUGAGAAGAGAGACAGGCGUUAUACACGCACAUAUAUCAGACGUUAUAUAUGCGCGCGCACACACACACACACACACACACACACACACACACACACACACAUAUAUAUAUAUAGAUGUAUGACCUUCAUUGAUAGGUAUGAUCAUGCAUAUUAUGCGCCCACAGUGGCAUUGUCAGUUACAUAGAUUUAUGCAGAUACAUACAGAUGCUAGUUCAUACAAGUACAUGCAGAUAGUCAUUUCAGCUUAUGAGUUUAGAUCUUAUUCAUGAUUUUUGGAUAUAUAUGUUGUUCUUGUGAUUUACAUACUCGGUAUAUUAUCCGUACUGACUCCCCGUUGC